rnacentral:rRNA from 1 species
GAUGAACGCUGGCGGCGUGCCUAAUACAUGCAAGUCGAGCGAACAGACGAGGAGCUUGCUCCUCUGACGUUAGCGGCGGACGGGUGAGUAACACGUGGAUAACCUACCUAUAAGACUGGGAUAACUUCGGGAAACCGGAGCUAAUACCGGAUAAUAUAUUGAACCGCAUGGUGCAAUAGUGAAAGACGGUUUUGCUGUCACUUAUAGAUGGAUCCGCGCCGCAUUAGCUAGUUGGUAAGGUAACGGCUUACCAAGGCAACGAUGCGUAGCCGACCUGAGAGGGUGAUCGGCCACACUGGAACUGAGACACGGUCCAGACUCCUACGGGAGGCAGCAGUAGGGAAUCUUCCGCAAUGGGCGAAAGCCUGACGGAGCAACGCCGCGUGUGUGAUGAAGGUCUUCGGAUCGUAAAACUCUGUUAUUAGGGAAGAACAAAUGUGUAAUUAACUAUGCACGUCUUGACGGUACCUAAUCAGAAAGCCACGGCUAACUACGUG